UGUAAUAUAUAAACAGACAUGACAGCAUAAUUUAGGCGCUUGUGUCACGCAGGAAAAAUCUUUUAUGAAAUGAUAAAGUCCAGAAUGUUUAAUAGAUAAAGGGAAGAAUUGCUAGGUUAUUUUGAGCAAGCUAAACCUCUCGAGUUACCAGCAGAGACAAAUUAUUUCUGACUUCAGUCAUCUGCUGAUGCGGCAGGUAUGGAGGUUGAAAACUUCGUUUCCAAAACAAUUGAGCUCCUUCAAGAAGAAAGAGAAGCUGAGGUUGAAGAAACCAGAGCAUGGCAGGAGAAUUUAUCUCCCAAGAAUCUACAGAACAAAGGAGUGUACCUGCUGAAACUUCAGGUCGGAAGUCAGCGUACUGGCAUGUAUGGCAGACUUCUAGUUGUUUUUGAACCCAGGAAAAGUAUAGGACCCUCAGUUCUUCCCAGCAACACCUUUGGACCUGGUGAUAUAAUAGGUUUAUAUCAAUCCGAGGGUCAGGGUCAGUCAUCUCAACUGGGCUCAGGUGUAGUGACACGUGUUACUCAAACGUCCUUGACAGUGGCUUUUGAUGACACACAAGAUGGUAUUAACGUGGACAGAGAUGGACUCUAUAAUCUUAUGAAGUUGGCAAAUGAUGUGACCUACAGGCGACUGACAACUGCCUUAAACUCUUUAAAUGGAUACAGCAGUGGUCCCGCGUCUUACCUGAUCAGUGUCCUCUUUGGUUACUCAGAACCAGGGACAUUAUCACAUCAAAAUGUAUUGGAAUUUAGCAACGUCGGGUUAGAUAAUUCUCAGAAGGAGGCUGUGUCCUUUGCAAUUUCUCAAAAAGAUGUUGCAAUCAUACACGGGCCACCGGGAACUGGCAAAACCACAACAGUGGUUGAAGUAAUCCUGCAGGCAGUAAAGCAAGAACAAAAGGUCCUUUGCUGUGCUCCUUCCAAUGUGGCCGUUGAUAAUUUGGUGGAGCGCCUGGCAAAGAACAAGGUCAAGGUUUUGAGAUUGGGUCACCCAGCCCGUCUGCUUGAGUCAAUUCAGAAACAUUCACUGGAUGCUGUACUUGCACACAGUGACAACACUAAUGUCAUCUCUGAUAUUCGCAAGGACAUGGACAAAGCUUUUAGUGAAAUGAAGAAGGCCCGUGACAAAGGCCAACGGAGCAACCUGAGAAGGGAAAUCAAGGAAUUGCGGCGAGAACUGAGGUCAAGGGAGGAAACGGCUAUCAGUCAAAUCCUGAAGAGAGCUGAUGUUAUUCUAGCUACUAAUACUGGAGCUUCUGAUGAUGGUCCUCUGAAACAUCUUCCUAAUGAUCACUUUGACCUAGUGGUGAUAGAUGAGUGUGCUCAGGCUCUAGAGAGCAGCUGUUGGAUUGCUCUGCUCAAAGCACGCAAGUGCAUACUAGCUGGGGAUUACAAACAGCUGCCACCCACCAUCAAAUCACAGAGUGCUGCAUCUAAAGGCCUGUCUGUGAGUUUAAUGGAGAGGCUGAUUAAGAAAUACGGAGACUCAGUGGUUCGAAUGCUAACUACUCAGUAUCGUAUGAACAGUGCCAUCAUGCAGUGGGCUUCAGAGCAGAUGUACCAGGGCAAACUGAUCGCACACCCUUCAGUGGAGAAACACUUGCUUAGAGACCUGUCUGGUGUUGUUGAUGUUGAGGAGACCAGAAUUCCUCUUCUGCUCAUUGACACUGCAGGCUGUGGCCUUAAUGAAAUGGAGGACACAGAUGAGCAGUCUAAAGGCAAUCAAGGAGAAGUAGACAUUGUGGCUCUUCAUAUAAAAGCUCUUACUGAGGCUGGAGUUCAAGUCAGAGACAUUGCGAUUAUUGCACCCUAUAAUCUCCAGGUGGAUCUUUUGAGACAGAAACUGUCCCAUAAACAUACUGAGUUGGAGAUCAAGUCUGUGGAUGGCUUCCAGGGCAGAGAGAAGGAGGCAGUGGUGUUGUCAUUGGUCAGAUCCAACAGAAAGGGUGAAGUUGGAUUUCUUGCUGAAGACAGAAGGAUCAAUGUGGCUGUGACACGUGCCAGACGCCAGCUCGUAGUAGUGUGUGAUUCUCAAACUGUUCGAAACCAUGAUUUCCUCAAAUCCUUAGUGGACUACAUAACUGAACACGGGGAAGUUCGGACUGCCUUUGAAUACCUGGAAGACUGUGUACCACAGAAUUACAACCGUGACUCAAAAGACAAACAGCCCAACAGCAAAGAUAUUUCAUCCACAAAACAGAAGCCCAAGAACCAGGCCAAGAAAGCAGAUCAAGAACAUAAGAAAAGUGCUGACAACAAAAGCAGAGGAGAGGGUCAACCCAAUGUUCAUUCCCAUCAAAACAAAUACGCCAACCAUUCUAAACCCAAAGAUGCUGAUCAGACCCAAAAUAAAAGAAAAGCUAUAAAGGAGCAGAUAUUGAACUUUCUGAAGGACUCAAACAAGACAGAGCUACAGUUUCCUUCCUCGCUGAAUUCCCACGAGCGCCUGAUGGUCCAUGAGAUCUCUGAAGAAAUGGGAUUGAGGCAUGAAAGCCAGGGAGAAGGGAAAAACCGCUGUAUCACUGUGGUCCAGACUCUGCCAGGACCAGAAAAUCUGGUGAAGGAGCAAGAGCCCAAACAACCAAGUACUGCUGUGGAGCUACUUGAAGAAGAAUCACAGAAGAAACCUUCACAGCCCACUGUUGAUUUGAAAAUCUUGCAUUUGGAGCGUAUGCGUCGGGAGCAGGAAAAACGAGAAGAAAAAAAAAAGCAGAGUAUGAGACCAGAGCCAGAUCUCAAUACCAGCAAAGGCCAGUCUUUUAAGAAGUCCAAAGGAAAGGCUAAGAUAAAAGCAGCAGCAACGGACAUAGCUGCUGCUGCCACGGCAGAUGAUGAUUUUGACACUCUUAUCGAUGCUGUAGUUAAGGCAGAGCGAGUGUGUGGCUUUGUGAAAUGCAAAGCCAGUGUUCUCACACUGGGACAGCUCUGCAUCUUCUGCAAAAGACAAUACUGUCUGAGUCACCAUAUACCUGAGGUUCACGGAUGUGGAGACAAAGCAAAAGCUCAGGCUAGAAUGAGGAUAAGUAAAGAAGGAGUGCUCUAUGCUGGAAGCGGAGAGAAGGACAAGUCGAUAGAUCCAAAUAAAAAAGCAUAUCUGCAGAGAAAACUGGACUCCAAACUCAAAGAUAUGGCAACUCAAAGGAAAACCAAAGCAAAGGACAAAGAACAUUGACAUUUUAGGAGACACUGCAUUAAGUUGAUGCUGUUGAAUUUAAAUUAAAUAAUUGCUCAACUGAGGCAAUGGUUAUUUACAUGAAAAUAGUUAUAGAAAGAUUUCUGUGCUUUACUUUUGCAUUUUUUGUUAUCAAAUCAUCAUGACUAUUUAGGUGAUUUUGAGGACAAUAUGUUCUAAGAUAAGUCUAGUUCAAUACAGAUCCGCACUAGCAUGCCUAAAUGUUAAGCAAAUCACAAAGAUGAAACAUAAAGAGACCAGCCUUUUUAAUAGUCCCAUCUGACUGAAAAGAGGUUUUUUGAAUGACUCAAUGUGCUUAAAAGACCCACCCUAAUGCUGGUCUUAAAUCCCUUUACAAGAUUUAUGUUUUUCAGAAUCAUUGUAGGGAUAUAUAAUUGGACUCCUUUCAAAGCAAUUAAUACUUAUUAGGUAGACUACUGGAACCUGAUCUUAGAAAAACUACUCCAUGUUCUCUCUGAAUGAUUGAACCAUACUUAGUUAUUCCAUAGAGCUUUGAGCUGCUUCCACUGCAUAUACUGUCCAGUAUAUCUUCUCUUAUCCACAAGAGGACAUAAGAGACUGGAGGCAUUGCGAGCUCCAUGGGUGCAGUUAGUGGAGAAUUUGAAUGGUGAGUGCAUUAAAAGGAGCACUACAGAAAUCAAUACCGCUUGAGAUUGUGCAAUAAUAUUUAACCCUUUGAUCCUUGUGAUAUGUUUUUAAACUAGCCCUCACGCAAGGAAGAAGACUGCCUUUGUUAAAUAAAACCGCUAAAGGCCCAAAACAGUAUGCUAUGGUGAGGUUAAGCAGAAUUGUGUAUUAGGAACAGUUUGCCCCUUUCCUUCUUUACCACUGUUAAUUGUUUUCGAUUGAGUAACCGUCUAUUGUGUCAGGUGCAAUGUAAACUCUAAAGUUGUAAGUACUGGAAAUAUCAAGUUGUCAGGUUUUGGGCUCAUAACUCAAAUAUUGAAAUUUUAAACAUUAAACAUUUAAUAUUGAACUAAUUUAUCUUAAAAAAUUAUAGACUUAAGAUUUUAAGUGUUAAUAACUUAAACUUUUGAGUACAAAAUUUAGGCUAUGGUAAUACCCAUAAUGCUUUGUGCUUGAAUUCUUUAAUUAUGUUUCCUUGGUCAAAGGGAAGUUAUGGGGGCAUUUAUAUAGUUGUAAUUAAGAAUUUAUAGAGGUUUUAGUUUUUUUAUAGUAUUGUUUAUGUUGAUUUGUUGCAAAUAGUUGUUUCAUGUGAUGUGACCAUUAGGGUGAUCAGUGUCCCAUUUGGACUGAAAUUGAAUCAGUUAAAUUAAAAUGAUUUACAGUAGAAACAACAAUAUUUAAAUUGAAAAUCUGAAUUAGGUCUACUUGCAUCUAGUUAACCUAAAUAGUCAAGUUCAUUCUGUAAGAACACCAAGUUAUUUGAACUUAAUUACAUAUGUUUUGGAGACACCAUUGCUCAAUUCAGUUGAGGGAACAAGUUAACUCACUCAAAUGAAUAGAGUAAACUUAUUAGGGUUUUCAGUAUGCAUGGACUUUCUUGUAAAUACAGUGCAGCUGUGAUGUCAGUCCGGUCCAGUAGCUCUUGAAGUGGUCUCUCAGAUAGAUACAGAAUUACAGCACCUCCAAUCUCUUCUCAUAGAGAGUAACUGGAUUUAGUGGUUCCUAUGGGUACAGCAGAAAUUACAGCACCAAUGCUUUUAUCUUGUGUUCAGGUGCAGGUGGGUUUUCCUACAAGACAAAAUCCAACCCCAGCCUCCCACACCCCAGCUUAUCUCAGUUGUUGAGCCAACCUACAAUGCAGCAGUCAUCUGAAUAACUUACGCUGGCAGCAUAUGCUAGUCAAACGUGUUUGGGGAGAGGUCUGAGCCCAAUAUGAGUCCUCAUUACUCAGCGCAAUUAUCCAGAAACCCUCUGUAGGGUUGAGGAAAACUGCAGUUUUUCUCCUAAUAGACUCCCUUGCCACACCGAUGUACCACUUUUUGUUGUCUCCCACACCAACAUCCCAGCUGUGCUUUCCUGUAAUGAAGCUGCCAGAAGCAAGUACUCAUGCAGCGGUCAGAGUUAUCUGGAAGCUGCUGUUUUUUUUUACCAUAUUUAAUGGUAGUGAGUUCAUCACUAACGAUCAAGUUAGGAUGUGCUGUGGCUGGAUCAAACUUGACAGGGCCUGGACAGAUAGUAAGAUAAAAUAGAUCAUUUCUUUUUAAACAAAGCUCUUUUCAUUAUUUAGCAUACUUGUGCAUUAUAGUGGUUACUUAUUCAUUUAAUUUUAAGUUGACUAGCAUGUGUAGGAAUUUUUUAAUUAAAGGGAUAUGUAAUCAAUCCAUUCUACAUGAUUUCUUAUAUUUACAUGCUUAGUGAGUAUUAUAUUGAUAUACCUCUUCUUUUUAUUACUGCUCAGUGAAUAAUGACUAAAAUGUUUUUUUGUUCCUCACACAAAGCUAAUGAACAGUAUGUAUUGGAAAACUCAAAACAUAGUGCAAAAAAGUUAUUUUUUAUUAUACAGUAUACACUCACCGACAACUUUAUUAAGAACACAUGUACACCUUAUUCAUGCAGUUAUCUAAUCAGCCAAACGUGUGGCAGCAGUGCAAUGCAAUGCAUAAAAUCAUGCAUAUACUAUAUAUAUAUAUAUAUAUAUAUAUAUAUAUAUACACACUACUGGUCAAAAGUUUUGAAACACUUGACUGAAAUGUUUCUCAUGAUCUUAAAAAUCUUUUGAUCUUAAGGCAUAUGCUUAAAUGUUUGAAAUUAGUUUUGUAGACAAAAAUAUAUUUGUGCCACCAUAUUAAUUUAUUUCAUUAUAAAACUAAAAUUUAAUAAAAAAAAAAAAGUUUUUGAAAGUGUUGACUUGGAUCAAAUAUAAAGAAAAGCAGCCAAUAAGUGCCCAACAUAGAUGGGAACUCCUUCAAUACUGUUUAAAGAUCAUCCCAGGGUGAUACCUCAAGAAGUCGUUUGAGAAAAUUUCAAGAGUACAUGUCUACAAAUUCUAGGCAAAGGGUGACUACUUUGAAGAUGCAAAAAUAUAACACAGUUUUGAUUUAUUUUGGAUUUUGUUUAGUCACAACAUAAUUCUCAUCAUUCCAUUUAUGUUAUUCCAUAGUUUUGAUUAUUUUACUAUUAUUCUAAAAUGUGAAGAAAAAAAAUUUAUAAUAAAGAAUGAGUGUUUCAAAACUUUUG